CUACGGGUCGCACCAGUGGGGAAUUUUGGACAAUGGGGGCAACCCUGAUCCAGCCAUUCCGCGUGAGUGAAGAAGGCCUUCGGGUUGUAAAGCUCUUUCAGCAGGAACGAAACGGUACGCGCUAACAUCGUGUGCUACUGACGGUACCUGCAGAAGAAGCACCGGCUAACUACGUGCCAGCAGCCGCGGUAAUACGUAGGGUGCGAGCGUUAAUCGGAAUUACUGGGCGUAAAGCGUGCGCAGGCGGAUUGUUAAGCAAGACGUGAAAUCCCCGGGCUUAACCUGGGAAUGGCGUUUUGAACUGGGAGUCUAGAGUGUGUCAGAGGGGGGUGGAAUUCCACGUGUAGCAGUGAAAUGCGUAGAGAUGUGGAGGAACACCGAUGGCGAAGGCAGCCCCCUGGAAUAACACUGACGCUCAUGUACGAAAGCGUGGGUAGCAAACAGGAUUAGAUACCCCAGUAGUC
rnacentral:rRNA from 1 species